CCGUAGGUGAACCUGCGGAAGGAUCAUUAUCGUACAAUGGAGGUGCAAAGGGUUGUCGCUGACCUUUCAAAGGUUGUGCACACCUGAGUGCCUUCACAUAAUCCAUCUCACCCUUUGUGCAUCAUUGCAUGGGUUCUCCUGAAAGGGAGGGCGCUGUGCUUCUUUUUCUUUUUUUCCACACAACCCCUAAAAGCAUUGUAGAAUGUAUCUUUCUUUUUUGCGGUGACACGCAAUUAAUAUAACUUUCAACAACGGAUCUCUUGGUCUCGCAUCGAUGAAGAACGCAGCGAAAUGCGAUACGUAAUGUGAAUUGCAGAAUUCAGUGAAUCAUCGAAUCUUUGAACGCACCUUGCACCCCUUGGCAUUCCGAGGGGUACACCCGUUUGAGUGUUGUGAAAUUCUCAAAACCCCUUUCUUUGAUACUUUUUCAUCAAGAAAUGGAUUUUGGACUUGGGGGGAUUAAUGCUCACUCUCACUUAUUGAAGGUGGGCUCCUCUUAAAUGAAUUAGUGGGGUUCACUUUGCCGAUCCUUGACGUGAUAAGAUGUUUUAUUUUACGUUUUUGAUUUAGCAUUGUCUCUCCAACUGUCUUAUGGACAAUGAUGGUGUUCUGGUCACCACUGCCCAUGUUGGUGGAUGGCUGGACCCACAAGAAAACCUUGACCUCAAAUCGGGUGAGACUACCCGCUGAACUUAAGCAUAUCAAUAAGCGGAG
rnacentral:rRNA from 1 species